rfam:Myotis brandtii contig250787, whole genome shotgun sequence.
GACAGUUCUCUGGUGAUGCAUCCCGGAAUCAGGCUCCCCCCUCUCUGGUUCUGGGUGCGUCACCCACGAACCGCA